rnacentral:rRNA from 1 species
UGGGGAAUUUUGGACAAUGGGCGAAAGCCUGAUCCAGCAAUGCCGCGUGUGUGAAGAAGGCCUUCGGGUUGUAAAGCACUUUUGUCCGGAAAGAAAUCCUUGGCUCUAAUACAGUCGGGGGAUGACGGUACCGGAAGAAUAAGCACCGGCUAACUACGUGCCAGCAGCCGCGGUAAUACGUAGGGUGCAAGCGUUAAUCGGAAUUACUGGGCGUAAAGCGUGCGCAGGCGGUUUGCUAAGACCGAUGUGAAAUCCCCGGGCUCAACCUGGGAACUGCAUUGGUGACUGGCAGGCUAGAGUAUGGCAGAGGGGGGUAGAAUUCCACGUGUAGCAGUGAAAUGCGUAGAGAUGUGGAGGAAUACCGAUGGCGAAGGCAGCCCCCUGGGCCAAAUACUGACGCUCAUGCACGAAAGCGUGGGGGAGCAAAACAGGAUUNGAUACCCUGGUAGUCCACGCCCUAAAACGAUGUCAACUAGUUGUUGGGGAUUCAUUUCCUUAGUAACGUAGCUAACGCGUGAAGUUGACCGCCUGGGGAGUACGUCGCAAGAUUAAAACUCAAAUGAAUUGACGGGGUCAUAGCUG